UACGUAGGGUGCAAGCGUUGUCCGGAAUUAUUGGGCGUAAAGAGCUCGUAGGCGGUCUGUCGCGUCUGCUGUGAAAACUCGGGGCUUAACCCCGGGCCUGCAGUGGGUACGGGCAGACUAGAGUGCGGUAGGGGAGACUGGAAUUCCUGGUGUAGCGGUGAAAUGCGCAGAUAUCAGGAGGAACACCGAUGGCGAAGGCAGGUCUCUGGGCCAUAACUGACGCUGAGAAGCGAAAGCAUGGGGAGCGAACGGG
rnacentral:rRNA from 1 species